UACGGAGGGGGCUAGCGUUGUUCGGAAUUACUGGGCGUAAAGAGCUCGUAGGCGGUUGGGUAAGUCGGGUGUGAAAACUCCAGGCUCAACUUGGAGAUGCCACCCGAUACUGCUCUGACUUGAGUUCGGUAGAGGAGUGGGGAAUUCCUGGUGUAGCGGUGAAAUGCGCAGAUAUCGGGAGGAACACCUAUGGCGAAGGCAGCUCGCUGGGACGUUACUGACGCUGGAGACGCGAAAGCGUGGGGAGCAAACAGG
rnacentral:rRNA from 1 species